AUGAUGUACAGUGAGCAGACAGAGCUACACAGCAAGACAUUAAAUAAUGAUAAUCUGAAGUAGCAUUUAAAGCCCAGGUAUGUGCCAGGCUGUUUGGGCAUAUAAUCCAUGCCUGCUGGUCUAGCACACAGGAGGCUAAUUGCGAUAUAUUCUUUUUACUCUGUGGGGAUAUUUAUGGGAUAAUAAUAGUAACAGUGAGAAUUGCCCACUAAUUCAAUUCUCAGAUCCCAAAGAAC